rnacentral:piRNA from 1 species
UAAACUUCCACUGUUGGAAUACCUCAGCUA